UUAAAUUGAAAUUGCUAAUUCAAAGUGCAGCUAGGAAUAAAAUAACAAUCCUAAUAAAAUUUAAAUUAAAAAAAAAAAAAGUGUGCAAUUUCUAGAACAACAUGUGUGCAUAUUCCAACAAAAGAAAAUAAUGUCACGCAUUUUCUUCAAGAUAAAUGAUGGCAAACCAAAUGCACUGCUGCUUCUGAAAUGAAGGAAAUAAAUGCUCCAAAAUAAAUAAACCAUCGCCAAAGCAAAAGUGUUGAAUCUCCAAUAUGAAAAGCAAAGGAAUAACUGCAACAAAAAUAAUUAACGUGAGCUCUCCUUUCAAGACCAUGAAUCAAUGCAUAAAAAAGUAAAAAGGAAAAUGCUUCUCUCUUCAAACCAAAAAGGUGCUGCACCGUUUUUAAUUUCUAAAUGAAAACAAGGAAAAUGCUAAGAAAAAUAUCCUAUGUGGCCUACAUUACCGCACCCACCACAUGGUUGCUAAAUGAGAGAAUAAAAAAAAAUGGUCAUCCUAGUGUUCAACUUCCCACAACAGCCGUGACACUCCAUCCAAAAGAAUUCAAUCACCAUGCUCCUCAAAGAAUGCUGGACGUGGCAGCCGUGUCUCCUUCCAAUUGACGCAACCCAUGUGCACACACCAGCUGUGAAUUCUGGACCGUGACAACUCCAAAUAAAUCACUGUUUCAUCAUUCUAAAAACACACUAAAAAAAUGCUUCUCUCUUUGUUAACCACUGUAAAAAUUUCCUAAAAAUCAGCUACCAAUGUCCCAUCAACUCUAUCCCACCUAAUCUACUUACCAUUGAUUAAAAGAAAAACAAAGCUAGAAGCCAUAUAUCAAGUGCAAACCAAACGGUGAUUCCUCUCCAACACUUGCAAGAAAAAUUAAAAAAAGAAAAGUAAAAGUAAUUGAAUCUGCUGCAGCGCUGCACCAUACAAAAAAGAAAAGAAAAUUGGUUCUCCAUUCAUCCAAUGCCCAUUAACAAAAACAUGUUCCAGGAGAAAAUUUCAAUGCCAAAAAAAAGUUCCAGUUGAGAAUUCCUCUCCCAAAAAGUGCCGAGAGAGAGUUAGUCUAGGUAAG
rnacentral:lncRNA from 1 species